rnacentral:rRNA from 1 species
AUGGAGAAUAAUAAGGAGGCUGCGGCGGCGGCCGAAUCCCAUGGGACCGCAGGGAAGCGGGCACGGAGCGGCGACUGCGACGACACCGCCGACGAUUUCAUCAGCCGGCUCCCCGACGCCGUCCUCGGCACCAUCAUCUCCCUCCUCCCCACCAAGGACGGCGGCCGCACGCCGGUCCUCUCCCGCCGAUGGCGCCACCUCUGGCGCUCCGCGCCUCUCAACCUCGAGGUCAGCACCCGACCCCCGGGCGUCCCACCCUCCGCCGUCUCCCAGAUAAUCUCCCAGCACCAUGGCCCCGCACGCAGAUUCUCCUUCCACUGCCACGGCGACGACGACCUCUGCGCCCAGGCGGAGAGCUGGCUCCGCUCCCGCGCCCUCGCCAACCUCCAGGAGCUCGACAUCGCCUACGCCAAACCCCAGCUGCUGACAUCGCUUCUCCGCUCUGCAUCCAACAUCCUUGUCGCCAAGAUCACCCAUUGUGAUUUCAAGCCGGCCAUGAUCAAUUUCCCCUUCCUCAAGAAGCUCUCCCUAUUUUGCGUUUCCAUCUCAGCGGACCUCUUCCCCAGACUGCUCUCCGGUUGCCAUGCCCUGGAGAGUUUAUACAUGACCAACGUUCGUGCUGUGGGUUGCAUCCGUCUUCGCUCGCCGACCAUCAGGACCAUCAUCUUCCGUCAUAGCUAUGGUGAAACCGCGGAACUGAUCAUCGAGGAUGCUCCUCGCCUUGUGAGGUUACUAGUACCUUAUUGUGAGAGAAAAGAUAGUGUGACUAUCAGGGUAAUUAGGGCGCCUAAUCUGCAGAUAUUGGGACCUUUCUUUGCCGUCGUCUCCAAGCUCCUACUCUACCAGGUAGGUUCAGCGGCAUCUCCGAAUCUUUCUGUCAGCAUUCAUACAUGGAGAUAA